AGUAAACGGCUUGGGGGCGAGAAAUCCAGGUCAGGGUUCCUGCGGAAAAGUUCAGGGACCUCGAACUUUCCCCCAGGCGAUUCCACUCCAAGAACACCCUCCGGGUUUGUGGGCAGGAGUCUCCGUUGCCAGGCUUGGGGGAACGGUGAUGCGAGAGUAGGAUUAUAUCCCAAAAGAAACAGAAGCGAAUCGAGGGCUUUAUGGAGUAAGGGAGAGGGGAAAGUGUGGAGGGGCCAGUUCCUGAGCCAGAAGCUGCCCAAGGACAGGGGGCCCCGGCCGCGGGGGGAAGUCUCUCGCUGCCCGUGGAGGGGCCUACAGGUCCUCUGCGAGUGCUGCCAGGGGCCAGGUGAGGGCUCCAAGGAAGACCCUACCCCCUGGGGGAGUUAAGGAACACACAAACAGCCCGAAAAGCCAGUCGAACUGUCAUUUGGAAGAUUUUCUAGAUCUGAAUCUCUCGGAGGGCUCUUUCUUCCCCUAUUUCUCCGCUCUCUGCGUUAUGUUUCCUCAAGAAUUAACAGAAAUGCCUCCCAGAGCCAUUGCUGGUGACGACGUUGGGCUCCGGCAGCUCAUCUCUUCAGUCCAAGUCUAUUCAGGAGGGUCACUCUGUGAGGACCCAACUUCAACCCCAGAGUCAGUGCAAGCAUCAGAGUGCAGUGGGAGCCUCUCUUGAGAAGGAGAUCUUGGGCCCUGGUCUAAGGGAGGUCAGAAUCCUAGGCCUGGGGAAUCAGCAGCCCUCCUCUCAAGGGAGAAAAACCACCAAGUGGAGAGGAAGAGGGAGAAAUUUUCCCACUCUGGGAAAUUAACCUCAGAACCUAUUGAAUCUGUUAGAGGAAAGGAGAAUGACUCCAUUAACUCCAAAAUGUGCCCUUCAUGCCCCCCACCCCACCCCAGCAUAUGCAUACAUAGAGGGCAGUUACCAGCUACUCCAUAGGCAGGAGCAUCGACAGGACAACGUUUGGUUUUCUUUUUAUAAUGAAAAAGUUUAAAGAGCUAGGAUACCAGAAGGCUGAUGGUUUUCCUGGCUUGGAAGCCAUCAUCAAAACAAACAACAAUUGUGCCCACAAACAAGAUUCUCCUUGAUAGCCCACUCAUACUAUUGGGAUAAGGCCAUGCCCACCAACUGGAAUGUUCCACAACAGAUUUCCUUAACCUGUCCAAGGAGGCAUCAUAAGCCCAGAUGCCCAAGUAUGACCCCUUGGACAUACCUGCCAUUUUAUUUCUUGCCUCUCUGGCUACCAGUAACAACUAAUUAGAACAAUAUGCUGUCGUUGCAGACAUAACAAAAAUAUUGGCUUUGGUUCUUAUCCCAUUUGAAUGAGUUGUGGCUGUUGCCCAGCGCCUUUUGCUCUAGGCAGAGCAGGUGGGGAAAGUACUCUUGGAUGUAGGGGUUCAGUUGGGCACACAGGGCUGUCCCCCUCCCCAGCAGACGGACCUCCUCCCCACUCCCGAGCCUCUAUAGUACCCAGCGGUGGGGAAAAGGUUCAGUGCUCAAGACGCACCGCCAUCCUCUCUCUGAGCCAGACCAGCAAGGGAGCACCUAGGACAGCCCGGAUGCCAACCUAUACCCCAUACUGCGCCCCCUAACGGUACUUCACACUGGGGCCUUGGGUUCAAAGAAAAGACCCUGGUUUAAUAAUUCAGCCUGCUUGAAUGCCAUUUAGUAGCCAUGGCAACCAGUUCUCUGAUAUCUGGUUGUAGGCAGGAUAUGGUUGGAAGGAAAAAGAGAGGGAGAGAAAUAGGAAGGUAAAGGAGAGAGGAAAAAGAAAGCCAGCUCAGAUUUCAUCUAAACUCCCUGCAUUCACUCCGGUGAACCUGACUAUGUGGUAUCAGUGAAUAUCAUCUCUCUGUGCCUCUCCCAAGCUCCCUGACCUCCAUCUCUGACUUCCCACUCUCCCCAUCUUCUCCUUCCCCAGCUCUUCUCUCCAACCUUCUGGAAGCCAAGAUCUAGCUUCCUGACUCAGCACUCAGAUGAAAUAUCUUUGUGACUCUGGCAAACGACUUUCUUUGCCUCAGUUUCUGUAUCUGUGAAAUUAUUCCUUGUCCGUUCACUAUGGUUCCUUCCAGCUCUAACAAUCCAUGAGUCUAUGGUCAUCCCUCUGUCUCUGGCACCUGUCCACCUUUCAGCCUUUUGUCUCUGACCAGCUGUCUCUGUUUCUCCUUCUUUGUCUCUUUGUUUCCUAUGCCUGCCUCUCUCUCUCUCUCUCUCUCCACCCCCUCCAUUUUUUCUCUCUCAUGAAUAUCACUUUCCAUGAGGUUUCACCUGUGAAGCAGUUAUUUUUUAACAAAUAUUUCAUUCCCUCUUGCCUGAAGGGGUGUCAUCACCCCGCUUUACCUAGCUAGCUUUCCCUCAUCCUUCAGGUUGCAGAUCAGAUAUCAGUUUCUCUAAGAAGCCUCCUGCCCCGUCCCCUUUAUCUGUGCUCUGGGUUAGCCCCUGUUGUGUCUUAUCUCAUUGCUGGGAGGCUGAUACCUCUCCACCAGUGAGCUUGCUAAGGGCCAAAAUAGUGUCUCCUUCACUGCCAUAUGCCCAGUGGCAUUUAACAAGUAGUGGUUGGAUGACAGGAUGAAAAAACCUCAAACCACAGGUUUCUGAAUCACUGCUUGUGAGAAACUCAACAUACCCCCCAAAAAGGGCACAGGGUGAGGAAGCCAGAGGGGGAACCCAUUCAAGUCGCAGCCUCCCCUCUACUACCAUAGAUGGGGUGAAGGAGACCUCCUUCCUAAACUGUUUUGGUGAGGUGGUGAGCCAACAGCGAUGGGAUCUUUCAGCCACGUUGGUGGGGAUGAUCCAUUAUGGCAGUAGCUCCCAGGGGGCCUGAAAUGGGCUCCAGCAGGAGUGGGGAAAGUGAACAGCACCAAGUGGGUGGUUCCCUUCAGCUCAUCUCUGAGGGCGCUAUGCCACCUUUUGAGCAAAGCCAACGAGGAACUCUGCCCACGCAGUAAUAAGAAGUUCUGUCCAAGGUGUCAGUGCUUCAGGCAAUUGCCUGACAUCAAACAUCUCGUAGCCUUUCAGCCUGACUCCUUCCUUCUGGGAGCAGAGCCAUGGGGAAAGCAGACGGAGGCUGAGAUGGUGAUGCCAGAAGCACACGGGCCAUGGGCUGAGGAGUCAGAGGACAUGGGCAGUGUUUCAGGCCCCUGCUGGGAGACGCCAGUGUGGAUUGCUGUCAUCCAGGAAGUGGCUAUUUUCAAAGGAGAAAAGAAAAUAUUCUUUUGAUAGGCGUUUUUUAAUAGACAAACAAGACCUCUCCAUUUGGGAAACCUUAGCUGCAAAUGUGAAAGAAAGGCAAAAAUUCAGAAGACAAGGGUUUCUCCGCAACACUCCCUGGAGAAUUCUCUUUGUUUAUACAUUACAUAAAGAAGGGAUAGAGCUGAUAAGCACACAGACGUGCAGGCUCUCACACUUGCGUGCCCAGAGCCCAAUGAAGUCAGGACAGCCUCAAGCCCGGGGUCAGGCUUCACGCAGUAUGAAGACCUCAAUCAUAGCUCGGAGACCCAGGCAUGCCUCUCUGAAGCCCCAGGCUUCAUAUAGCUUUCCCCCCAAAUAAUCCUUAAUCCAGAUGGAGCUGCCUUACCCUCAAAGAUCUGCCAAGUGACACACAAUUUUCUCGAUAUCAUGCACAUACUGAAUGACACAUUUCAUUAGCAGACUUCCGUGAGUUGUCCUCACCACCCGCUCCCCAAGUGCCACAUUCUCAUACUCCUGUUGCCAUAAUCAGGCUAGCCCAAGCUUCAGAAAAAGGGAAAGGUUUAUAGCAGGAAGCUAGAAGAGAAUAAAUAAA